rnacentral:rRNA from 1 species
CCUACGGGAGGCAGCAGUGGGGAAUAUUGCACAAUGGGGGGAACCCUGAUGCAGCGACGCCGCGUGAGUGAAGAAGUAUUUCGGUAUGUAAAGCUCUAUCAGCAGGGAAGAAAAUGACGGUACCUGACUAAGAAGCCCCGGCUAACUACGUGCCAGCAGCCGCGGGAAUACGUAGGGGGCAAGCGUUAUCCGGAUUUACUGGGUGUAAAGGGAGCGCGGAGGGCUGUGCAAGUCUGGAGUGAAAGGCGGGGGCCCAACCACCGGACUGCUCUGGAAACUGUAAAGCAGGAGUGCAGGAGAGGUAAGCGGAAGUCCUAGUGUAGCGGUGAAAUGCGUAGAUAUUAGGAGGAACACCAGUGGCGAAGGCGGCUUACUGGACUGCAACUGACGUUGAGGCUCGAAAGCGUGGGAGCAAACAGGAUUAGAUACCCGGGUAGUC